AGUAACCGCCAUUUGGAUACACAGCCCAGAAAAAGAGGGUCUGCUCAAGUUUUCGCGGGUAGUGUGAGAGUUACUAGGAAUCCAACAACCUGGCUUCCUAGUUCACUGUUCCUUCCACCAAUCAAUCUGCAUCUCCAGCAGAGAAUGGAUAAAAUAGCAAACAGUUCUGGGGUUUUGUAUCAAUCUCUGACUGCAACCAUUGGGAAAGACUGGCUUAGCUGAAGUUCUAACCAUCCUACCUUUCAAUGCCCAGAAAGAAAAAGCCAAGGUUUCACUAUGUUGGCCAGUCUGGUGUUGAACUCCUCACCUCAAAUGAUCUGCCCACCUUGGCCACCCAAAGCGUUGGAAUUACAGACGUGAGCCACCGCGCCCAGCCGGAGAAGAUGUGAAAUUUUGAGAGCUGACCAUACUUUGAGAAUAAUAAGUAGUUGGAUUCUACUGAAGCCCAGUGGCUUUUGGAGGUGUAGCAAUAAGCAGGAGGCAGCAGAAGUAAGACAAGGGCUGUAUGACAAAGUCUUGGCAAGAACUUUGGAUUUUAUCCUGACGUGAGUGGGGAGAGCCACUGAAGAAUGUUAAGCCAGAAACACUACAUGUUACUACUUCCACUUUCAGAAAAGGCUUGAUAUGGAUUGUACACCUACAAGUGGCACACACUGUUCCAAGUGGAGACUCAAAGAUGAUAACGAUACAGUGUUUAUGCUAUAGGUUUGUGAAGCUACCAAUCCAUGGACAGAUGUUAAACCUAACUUCCAAUUUCAGGUACAAAUAUCUGAGUAAAUGAUGGUAUCAUUUACUCAAUCAGUAAAGGUCAAAGAGAAGGCAGUCUGAAGAAGGGAAAGGUGUUCAAUUUUGUAUUGAGUUUGACAUACCUGUUGAGACAGCUCAGUGGAGAUAUCCAGUUGAUGCUUGGGUAUAUGGACUUACAGCUCAGGGGGAGCUAGAAAUUGAAAUUUGAGAAUCAUCAACCUAUAUUUAUAAUGGGUGAAAUCAAUAAGUCGGAAUCAAAUUACCUGGGGAAGCAUGCAGAUUUGUUUAAAAAGGAAGAGGCCUGAGAACCUAACCCUGGUAAGCAUGACCAUUCAGGAUAAGAGAGAAGGAGCAAGUAGGGAAAGAGACUGAAAUAAAGAAACCUGAGUAACCACUGAGGACCACUGCUACAAUAGAGAAAAAGGAGCUUCAUUAGGGAAAUGCCUGAAAGAAAUCAAAUAAGGUAAGGAUUUUGGAUUUAGCAACAAAGAGGUCAUUUGAAGAAGUUGUUUUUAUUUUUAUUUCCUUGCAGAAUUGUAGAAAUAGAAAUCAAAUCAGAGUGAGCAGAGAAACAAUUUGAAGAUAAGGGAAUGGAGAUAAUUAUUUUAAAGUGGGAGAAGCAAGCAGAAGAUUUAGGUUUGAAGAAGGCACUAUACAAAAUAAUGUUGAUUCACUUGAGACUUGAGUGGCUGUUACAGCCACUCUCACAGGUCCCGAGGCUGAGCCUGCACAGGUGUUUCGACAACUAAGCUGCAAUUUUGACAGACACUAUUUCACUGUCAAUUGUGCGGCCUGCAACAACUUGGACAUCUUUUAUUGAUUUUAUUGAGUACUUUAAUAACAUUUUAAUAAAAGCCAUUAUAUUUUAUUUCUAACAUUUCAAAAAAUUCUAUUUAAUAAGUAUGCAUUUUUCAUGUUUAGUUUUACCAAGAAGGAAAAUCCAUGCUAGAUAAACUACAUUUUUGUUUGAUUUUAUUUGUAAUCAAGGCUGAGGAACUGACCAGAUCAGAAAAAGAAAGUCAAUACCUGCUAAGUAUUCAACACAGUUUUCAACAGUGUUACUGAAAGCUACAGGAGAUACCAAGAGUCCCUCGGACAGGUCAGGGAUUGGCAAGAGUGGGGUCAUCAAGUUUCUGGAGUUUCUUUUUUUUUUUUUUUUUUUAUUAUACUUUAAGUUUUAGGGUACAUGUGCACAUUGUGCAGGUUAGUUACAUAUGUAUACAUGUGCCAUGCUGGUGCGCUGCACCCACCAACUCGUCAUCUAGCAUUAGGUAUAUCUCCCAAUGCUAUCCCUCCCCACUCCCCGCUCCCCACCACAGUCCCCAGAGUAUGAUAUUCCCCUUCCUGUGUCCAUGUGAUCUCAUUGUUCAAUUCCCACCUAUGAGUGAGAAUAUGCGGUGUUUGGUUUUUUGUUCUUGCGAUAGUUUACUGAGAAUGAUGGUUUCCAAUUUCAUCCAUGUCCCUACAAAGGAUAUGAACUCAUCAUUUUUUAUGGCUGCAUAGUAUUCCAUGGUGUAUAUGUGCCACAUUUUCUUAAUCCAGUCUAUCAUUGUUGGACAUUUGGGUUGGUUCCAAGUCUUUGCUAUUGUGAAUAAUGCCGCAAUAAACAUACGUGUGCAUGU